GAGUGAAAUGACGAAUAAUGAUUCCCUAUUGGUUUGAGUGCCGGUAUGAUGGCAUCAGUUAUUAGCUCUAUCUGAUCACUC
rnacentral:snoRNA from 1 species